AUGACUAAAUUAACUUUAAAUAAGCUAGUGAAUAUUAGGUUAAUAGAUCACACUUAUCCUCUUAUUUUAAACACGUAACUAAAGCUAAGAUAAGUUAAGGAAGAAUAUGAGAUAAAUUCAACUAAAAUAAGUUUUAAAAAGUUUAGAUAAGUUCAUAUAAUUAGUUUAAUAAAUCUACAACCUUUUAAAAGUGAGGAGUCGAAUUUCACUAUUCAUCCAAUAGUUAAAGGACUGAUUUACCCUUAUUUUCCUUUACAUUUUCGUUACUACCCUUUUGCCCUAAUAUCUCAGAUUGCGCCACGUUCCUUCAUCAUUUGCCUUUGCUUUCUCUGAGCUCAACCCCCAUUCCGUUCUGAACUAUCCCUUCUCCAGUCUCUUUCGCCCCCUUCUUCUCCCUCCUACCGUGGUCGUCAUUUUUCUCACCUCCUAUAAUUUGCAAUUCGUGCAAGCUCGACAAGGUUUAUCUCUUCACUAUCAAUUUGUCCUGCUUCUCCUGGUAUGACUAUUUUCUCUGAUCUUUUUGAAUUAGGGUUUUGUACUCGCUUAAUCGCUUUUAAUGGUUGAAUUACUCGCUUUUAAUGGUUGAAUUUGAAGCAGAUAUAGUUGAGACUUAUGUUUUCCAAAAUUCGCAUGAACCCCUUCGAGGCCAGGUUUUUUUUUCUUUUUCUUCGGUCUAAAUUUAAUUCCCAUUUUGCUUUAUUUAAUUCAGAUUUAAGUUUGCAUUAAUAUAAUUUACUCGCCGCCGAUUGUCGGGUUCAAUUUCCUGCUCAAAUGCGAAUUGUGUUCGCCUCUAAAUGCAGAUUCUUUUGCCUUUGCUUCGUGCUCUAGGAAUUGGGCAUUCCCCCAAGGUAAACCGUUUAAUGUUAUGAAUUUGUUUAAUUUCGUUUGUUUAAUUUCCUGGAAACUGGGAUUGAGAUGGAUUGUUUUUUAUUUUUUAUUUUUUUUUUAUUUUAUCAUAUGAUUUGUGGGGUAGUAGCAUUUUGAGAAAAGGGUUUCGUCUUUGAUGUAAUAAUGGAUUGAAUGUAUUUAACUUUGUUUGUUAGGCAAUGUGAAAAUGAAGUAUCAAGCAUUGAAUUUUGGGGGCCGAAUUGUGUAUUCCCGAUCGACCGAGGAGGUAGAGGAAGCUACAUUGCAGAUUUUGGAGUUUCUUGAAGCUCAGAAACGAAAAUCAGGCAGGGCUGUCCUUGGUCUUGACAUUUAAUGGAAAUUGAGCUUUGAUCGAGAGGACGUCGUCUGAAUUGGGAAAAUGGAUUGAAAUAUCUAAGGGAGACAAGAAGACCCAUGUUAUUCGUCGUCGCCUCAUUAAGCAUCAUGCCAUUGAAAGGAUUUCCAAUCCAUGAAUGAGUAUAAAUGUGCAAUGGAUUGAUAAAAGCUUAAUACUGAAAAGGGCCAAUUUUAAAGACCUUAUGGUGCUCAGGCAAAUGGCCAAAUGCCCAGUGAUGUAACUGUUGGAGGAAGAGACAAUUGGGCUCUCUCUCUCCCACAUCUUAUUAAGGAGAGUACAAAUGCUUGAGGAGUUCCUAUGCCGAUGUUUUCUAAUGCAACAUUUUGUGAUUCCUUUAUCUUAGGGUAGGUCUAGAGGUCAUAACCAUCAUGGUUGCUCAUAUGGUUAUUUGAUGUCCUUCUGAUGAUUUUAUGCCAGCAUUGUUUUUUUCAUUUCACAUAAAAGCUAGAUUGUGAGUUCCCAACCUUCAGAUUAGAGUCCGAAUGAUUCUUAUGUUCGAUUUUGAAAUAAUACUAGGCUAUGUUUUUCAUUGAACGUCUGUAUGUAUGUGUCUGUACGUUUAUCUGGAGUGGACUAAGGACAUGUAGGCUAUGCUUGUGUUUGAGCAUGUGAAAUUGUGAAUGAUGAUGAAACAUCAGCUUUGGAGUUGUUUAUGUUUGAACACUAUAUAAGAAUGAAGACAC